GUUUAUGGCCUUGCUACCCUGAAUGUGCUCAAUCUCAUCUGCUUUUGAAAGCUAAGCAGGGUCGGGCCUGGUUAGUACUUGGAUGGGAGACCACCUAGGAAUAUUGGGUGCUGUAGGUG
rnacentral:rRNA from 1 species